rnacentral:tRNA from 1 species
GUGGUGUGGGUCAGGCGCGACCGCGGCGGGUGCGUACCUCCUGCAGCCGUUCGGCGAGGAUGUCCUCCAGCUCGGCGAUGGAGCGCCGCUCCA